CUCGCGAUAGCUCAGUGGCAGAGCAUGUGACUGUAGAGUUAAGCUGUUAUCACAGGGUCGGCGGUUCAAAUCCGUCUCGCGAGA